rnacentral:rRNA from 1 species
UACGUAGGGUGCGAGCGUUGUCCGGAUUUAUUGGGCGUAAAGGGCUCGUAGGCGGCGUGUCGCGUCGGGAGUGAAAGCCCGCUGCUUAACGGCGGGUUGGCUUCCGGUACGGGCAUCGCUGGAGUGCGGCAGGGGAGACUGGAAUUCCUGGUGUAGCGGUGGAAUGCGCAGAUAUCAGGAGGAACACCGGUGGCGAAGGCGGGUCUC